AUUAAAGAAAUGAAAAGUUUUUAAGGACUUGAAACUCUAACUUCACCUAAUUUAGUUAAUUAAUUAUCUUUCAUUCAAUUGUUUAAUCUAAAUAAUUACUAACCUAAGGUUAAAUUGCAUUAACUAAACUCUUUCAGCAUCUAGCUAAAUUAAUCCCCUUUUCAAUAGUUAUAUUCCUAUGCUAUAGAAGUUGGGUUAAGUCAAACCUAUUUAGUUGAUUAGGACAUAAGUAUAUUCUUAUCCUAGCUGUAAAUUAUUUUGUUUGUCAGUGCUACAAAAGUUAAUUCUAAUCUAUUCAGUUUAGAUCUCAGCUCCAACUUCCUCUUCCAUGACAAAUCAUGAUAUCAAAUUAAUACGACUUUGUAAUCAGACAUGCAAAUUAAAUAAGUACAUGUCAAUUAGAAUAGAUCAAAACAAUUGAAUAGAGAAAUAAUUAAUUAACUAAGAUAUAUAAUCCAUCAUUGUUCUAAGAAAAUAGAGUUAGUUAUGAAUCACAAAUAAAUUCAACACAAAAGAAAGAAUGUAGAGAGAAAAUAAAUGAAGACUAUGAAUCGAGCUCCUCGAAUCUCCUUUUCUUCUUGUCUUUACUAGCUCGAAGUUUUCCUGAGAAAUUUUUUCAUUUGCCUCCAAUUGAUUCCCCUCUCCCUUAAUAUUUAGAUUUUAAUAGAAGUGCUUCACCAAUCAGAGAAUUGCGGUGGAGCGGAUAAAUUGAAAAACAAGCUCCACCGCACAUUUAAUUUGGUAAAGUGAAAGACUUUUCUUUAUCACUUCUAAUUUUAU
rnacentral:lncRNA from 1 species